UAAUACAGAGGGUGCAAGCGUUGCUCGGAAUCAUUGGGCGUAAAGCGCGUGUAGGCGGUCUUCUAAGUCUGGUGUGAAAGCCCGGGGCUUAACCCCGGAAGUGCACUGGAUACUGGAAGACUAGAGGGCGAGAGGGGAGAUUGGAAUUCCUGGUGUAGGGGUGAAAUCCGUAGAUAUCAGGAGGAACAUCGGUGGCGAAGGCGAAUCUCUGGCUCGUUUCUGACGCUGAGACGCGAAAGCGUGGGGAGCAAACAGGAUUAGAUACCCUGGUAGUCCACGCCCUAAACGAUGAAUACUAGUCGUCGGAGUUCCUAAUUGCUUCGGUGACGUAGCUAACGCAUUAAGUAUUCCGCCUGGGAAUUACGGUCGCAAGAUUA
rnacentral:rRNA from 1 species